rnacentral:misc_RNA from 1 species
UGAGCUGACCAGGGAAUCGAA